ACGUAGGUCACAAGCGUUGUCCGGAAUUACUGGGUGUAAAGGGAGCGCAGGCGGGAAGACAAGUUGGAAGUGAAAUCCAUGGGCUCAACCCAUGAACUGCUUUCAAAACUGUUUUUCUUGAGUAGUGCAGAGGUAGACGGAAUUCCCGGUGUAGCGGUGGAAUGCGUAGAUAUCGGGAGGAACACCAGUGGCGAAGGCGGCCUACUGGGCACCAACUGACGCUGAGGCUCGAAAGUGUGGGUAGCAAACAG
rnacentral:rRNA from 1 species